GGCAGCGCGCCGCGGUGGAGAAGCCGUCCUACUGGUGGAUCCUGGGUGUGGUGGCUGCUGGCCUGGUUCUGGUUCUGGUGGGAUUACUGGCCUUCCUGAAGCUCAGAGGAAGAGACAAGAAGCCCAGAGCUCAUUCUGAUGAAGAGACGGAGCUGAACAGGGUCAAAGACGGAGAAUCGCCCCAGUGACCGGCUCAUCGGACUGAACACUGAACUGAAACAUUCGCCUUAUUUUACACUUUUCUCUGGAUUCAGAAGACGACGAGCUGCAGACGCUCAAACUGGACCAUGAAGUCCCAAAUAGCUG